GAUGAACGCUGGCGGCGUGCCUAAUACAUGCAAGUCGAGCGAACAGACGAGGAGCUUGCUCCUCUGACGUUAGCGGCGGACGGGUGAGUAACACGUGGAUAACCUACCUAUAAGACUGGGAUAACUUCGGGAAACCGGAGCUAAUACCGGAUAAUAUAUUGAACCGCAUGGUUCAAUAGUGAAAGACGGUUUUGCUGUCACUUAUAGAUGGAUCCGCGCCGCAUUAGCUAGUUGGUAAGGUAACGGCUUACCAAGGCGACGAUGCGUAGCCGACCUGAGAGGGUGAUCGGCCACACUGGAACUGAGACACGGUCCAGACUCCUACGGGAGGCAGGAGUAGGGAAUCUUCCGCAAUGGGCGAAAGCCUGACGGAGCAACGCCGCGUGAGUGAUGAAGGUCUUCGGAUCGUAAAACUCUGUUAUUAGGGAAGAACAAAUGUGUAAGUAACUAUGCACGUCUUGACGGUACCUAAUCAGAAAGCCACGGCUAACUACGUG
rnacentral:rRNA from 1 species